UUUUCAUCAUGAACAUUUCUUUGAUGUGCUUCUUAGAAAAGAGCAGGCAAGAUCCCCACGCCCCACGGACAUCCUCGAGCUAAUGCUGAAUUUUGUCCAUGACAGAAGAGGGACUUCCAUAAUGCUCCAUCCUUAUCUUCAAGACGUACGCUCAUCCAGCUUCACUGCUUCAGUGCUUCUUAUGCUGCAAAAAAAACUUUUCUUGCUUCACUGGCGAAGCUGGAUAACUUCAGCAGUUGCUGUUACACACCUGCAGUUACUCACCACGGGAUUAUGGCCAGGUUAUGCAGAAGAGACGUCGAGAAGAUGGACACCAAAACAUCGCCGG